GAGAUUUCAUCUUAAGCUGCUAACUUAAACCAUAGUGUAAAAUCAUUAGUAUCUCU
rnacentral:tRNA from 1 species